UGGCGGCCCUCUGACCUCUCACCCCUGACCCCACCCACACAUCCUCUUCCCCUCCAGGCCCUCAGCCUAGUUAACAGGCCUAGAGUAUGUCCUUUGCUCCUUAAGAUUUAGGACCUGAAGGACAUCCGCGACCACCAGUCCCCGCAACUCCUGGCUUUGAGCAGCUACAGGGCUGAGCUUGCUGGAAAUCAAACAUGGGUCCUCUCCUAUGACUGGCUAAAUUACCAUUCAAGAUGAACUAUCAGCCUCUCAGAAUGUCUACUGUUAAAAUGAAGGUUGAAUGGAAAGAAUGAGAUAUUUCUUCUGCCUUCGAUGCUUCUGGUUCUCAGGCUUUCAGACUGAGAAGGGAAAUCUACACCAUCAGCUCUCCAAGUCUCAAGCCUUCAAACUACACCAUCAGUCUUUCUGGGUUUCAGAGGAAAGAUUCUGAGACUUCUUAGCCUUUAUAAUCACAUGAGCCAAUACCUUAAAAUAAAAUCAAUCUCUUUGUAGAUAUA